CAUGCUAGAGCUUGAUAUAAAGCGUUUUAGUUACAUUAAAAAGUUAACUGUGAAAUUCAGUUUAGUUUGA
rnacentral:tRNA from 1 species